UAACGCGGUGGGCAACCUGCCUCAUACGAGGGGGAUAGCAUCGGGAAACGUGGUGGUAAAACCGCAUAAGCGCACGAAGACGCAUGUAUUCGUGUGAAAAGGAAGAAAUCUGGUAUGAGAUGGACCCGCGUCUGAUUAGCUAGUUGGAGUGGUAAAAGCACACCAAGGCGACGAUCAGUAGCCGGCCUGAGAGGGUGGACGGCCACAUUGGGGACUGAGACACGGCCCAGACUCCUACGGAAGGCAGCAG
rnacentral:rRNA from 1 species